rnacentral:lncRNA from 1 species
GAAAGAUGAUUUAUUACAAGGUUAAUUAAAAUGGUUUCUGGUCUGAAAAGAUUGUACUAUACUCUAGACCUGUGGUACAUAUGUGAUUUGGAAUAAACUUUCAAACCAUGCUAGCAAUUUAGACAUAACUGAAGAAGCAUAAAGAAAAUAUGAACGAUGAAUGAAUGAAAAACAAAAGUUUUUUUUUUUAAAGCUAUUCCAUGACUAUGUUAUAGUCAAGAAUUAACAUGACUAUGUUAUCAGCAUAUCUAAAAAGAUGAAAGCAUAUAGAUUUUAGACAUCAAGUGAUGAAUAGAACUUAUUCUAAAAGCAUUAUUAUUACAUUUAUAU